UUUUUUUUUUUUUUUUUUUGAGACAGAGCCUUGCUCUGUCACCCAGGCUGGAGUGCAGUGGCAUGAUCUUGACUCACUGCAACCUGUGCCUCUUGGGCUCAAGUGAUUCUCCUGUCUCAGCCUCCUGAGUAGCUGGGAUUGCAGGUGCACACCAAUAUGUCCGGCUAAUUUUUGUAUUUUUAGUAGAGAUGGGGUUUCACCACGUUGGCCAGGCUGGUCUUGAACUCCUGACCUCAAGUGAUCUGCCUGCCUUGGCCUCCCAAAGUGCUGGGAUUAUAGGCGUGAACCCCCAUGCCUGGCCACAUAUUUUUUAACUAUUCAGAGAUUUUAAAAACAUGUUACAUUUAAUUUUACAAAUGAAGGUAAAUUCUCCAUGAGGUAAAUUCUGUAUUAUGGUCCUUUUACAGACAAGGAAACUGAGGCACAGAGUAGUCAAAUCACUUGCCCCAUGGCCAUACACACAGCAAGUGGCAGGGCCAAGACUCAAACCUAGCUGGCCUUAACUGGCGCCCUUAACCACACCACGAUGCUGCCUCUGCCCUUACAAACCAUCUAGUCCAGUCUCCUCAUUUAUUUAUUUAUUUUUUUAGAGAUGGAGUCUUGCUCUGUCACCAAGGCUGGAGUGCAGUGGUGCGAUCUCAGCUCACUGCAACCUCCACCUCCUAGGUUCAAGCGAUUCUCUUGCCUCAGCCUCCAGACUAGCUGGGCCUGCAGGUGCCCACCAACAUGCCUGGCUGAUUUUUGCAUUUUCAGUAGAAACGGGGUUUCACCAUGUUGGCCAGGCUGGUCUCAAACUCCUGACCUCAGGUGAUAUGCCCGCCUUGGCCUCCUGAAGUGCUGGGAUUAUAGGCGUGAGCCUUCGAGACAGCCCAGUCUCCUGAUUUUAAUAGGUGAAAACACCACGGUCCAAGAAACAUCUAUGCCCAAGGCCACACAUUUAGUUUCAUUAAUUUGUCUUUAAUAUGAUGCAAAUUGGGCUAGUAGACCUGGUAGAUCAGAUGGAGUGGCUGGCCGGCCCCAGGCCAUGCCAGUCAGGAGUGGGAGCCAUGCCCAGUAGCUGUGUCAAGACAUCAUAAACCAGCCUAAUAUGUGCUUGUUCGGUGGUGGAAAUGUCAAAACAAAACAGUGGAAGCAUGUCAGUGAAGACAGAUUGGGUAGGUUGCAACAGAAUCAGCAGGUUUCUGAGUUCUAGAAGUAAAUUAAUUGGCCUUUUCCAACUCAGAAAAGCCUCUAGGAGUUUAAAAAUGCAUUGCUAAUAUAGGCCUGCCUCUUCCAAUUAAAAUUUCUUUUUUUUUUUUUAUCAAGAGUAAAUUCACUAUCGGGGUUCUGCACUUUUAUAGAACUGCAAUUGCUGCCAGUAAUUGAGACUCUGACACAUAUUAUUGUGAGGCCCAAUUAAGUUAUUGUCAGUAGGAUACUAAUUAUAAUGAAAAUACCAUUACUACAUAUGCAAGUUCUGUCUAUGUUAACAUACCUCCAAAGAUCAUAGGAGAAAAGCAUUUAUAUCUAUGGAAUCCCAGGCUCAUCUCUUCAUUUUAACUUGAGCAAAGAAUUAACACAAUGUAAAUACAUUAUAAAAGCUGUCAGUGCAGAGCUGGGAAGAAUAUUAGCAAUGAAAACCCAUAUGGAACUAGGCUAACUGAUAUAAUAAACUUACUUAUGAAUUCUUUGUGUUCUGUUGCUAAUUAUGUUUUAGAAGAUGAGGACUUUGAGUGUUUCGACCUUCUCUCUGUUGCUAAAAAGUCUAGUUAAUUCAAAGAUUCUGAUAUAGCUUGCCCAUUACCCACUAUUUUUGGGGUAGAGAGUGAGGAAAGGGCAUUGAAAAUUUAAAUCCAUCCAAGUGCUGUGGAUUUCACAAAACAGAGUGCUCAUUUUACUUUUACAUAAAAGGUACUUGGCAUCUUAAGAGGUAGCCUUCACUUGUAAAAUUAAAUAUAGCAUGUUUUUAAAAUCUUGAUAUGAUUAAAAACCAUGUGCCGCUCUAAAAUGGAAGAUUUUUACCCAUUUCUUUUUUCGUCUUAGAGAUUUUAUUUCAGUGGAAGGGUGUGUUAAGGAAUCAUAGAUUAGGCUGUAUGUAAACAACGAAGAAGCUUUUACAGUUUUCAGUAUCAUAGGAAGAUGAUAAUGAUGGAUAGAACCAUAUUUUAGAAAUAAACCCUAACACGUUCAUCCAAUCUUGAAUUGAGUAUUUUGUGAAAGUUGAAAGAUGUAUAUUGGCUUCUCAUGGAAUUCAGUGCUGGAUUUACUACAGAAGAGUGAUAGCUUUAGAUCUGGUUGCAGACGCAUGAAUUAUAUAGAGACGGGGAAGCAUGUGAUGCAUCCUAUCAAAAGCAUAUGGUGACUUGUUUUCUUUCUCUCUCAGAGCCCUAGUGUUGAAGAACAUGUCACACCAGCACACGCCGCCGUCGCCAGCAGCAGGAAGUUGUUGAUUUGCAGCAUAUUCACACUUUCUGAUGCAGUCAGAGCUCACUGCUUCUCAGAACAGAUCCACUCAGAAGGAACUCCAGUUUCUGAUGUUUAUUUUACUUUUUCUUCCCCCCAAACAAGGCACAAAAGGGGAAAAUGAAAGGGACACAAGAAAAAAGAAUCAAGGGUCUUACUGACCCCAUCACACACCUCCUCUAAUGUCAUGGCUGGAAGGAAAUAAGAAGCCCUUCCUCGGGAGAAUGCCAGAGGCCCUUGAUUGAAGUCAAGGACAUAAGGGAUGACCUCCUCCCAGUCCCCAGCCCUCACCUUCGCCUUGCGUUUGCUGUCAUCCAUGAUCAUCUUCCAGUCCGAGCCGUUGUUGCUGUACCCGAUCUUGAACUUCCUCAUGAACACCUUGUUCUCUCGGUGCUUCCCACCCUGAAUGAUGAUGCCCCUCACGAUCUUCUCCUCCCCCAGGUCUAUUUGGAGCCACUCAUUGAUGUAGGAAUGAGGUGCGGGUGGAAGUGCCCAGCCAGAGCGACUGGUUACCAGGCGGAUGUUUUCAGGCAUCCAGUUUCUGUCCCCUUGGUUGGAUGAUGUGAUCUGGGAGUCAGAAAUAAGUCCAGACACCAUACCCAACAUUCCAGAGCAAGGAUAAUCUGGGAAGUGAAAUGAAACAGAUAAUGUAAAAUGAUUUCCUGGGCGACUCCAUGCUAAGAAAUAAAAUACAACAUAUGGAAUAAAGACAUGAUUUUGUACCCAA